GUGCGAAUGCUGACAUGAGUAACGUAAGGGGAGUGAGAGACUCCCCCGCCGAAAGACCAAGGGUUCCUGCUUAAAGUUAAUCUGAGCAGGGUUAGCCGGCCCCUAAGACGAGGCGGAAACGCGUAGUCGAUGGGAAUCACGUUAAUAUUCGUGAGCCUGGAGGUAGUGACGGAUCACACAAGUUGUCCAAUCUUAUCGGAUUGAAAGGGCAGCGGAGUGGUUCCAGGAAAUAGCUCCUCCUUAUAGACCGUACCCGAAACCGACACUGGUG
rnacentral:rRNA from 1 species